UACGUAGGGUGCGAGCGUUGUCCGGAAUUAUUGGGCGUAAAGAGCUCGUAGGCGGUUUGUCGCGUCUGCCGUGAAAGUCCGGGGCUCAACUCCGGAUCUGCGGUGGAUACGGGCAGGCUGGAGGCAGGCAGGGGAGAACGGAAUCCCGGUGUAGCGGUGAAAUGCGCAGAUAUCGGGAGGAACACCGGUGGCGAAGGCGGUUCUCUGGGCCUGUACUGACGCUGAGGAGCGAAAGCGUGGGGAGCGAACAGG
rnacentral:rRNA from 1 species